rnacentral:rRNA from 1 species
AACACGUGAAAUUCCGUCGGAAUCCGGGAGGACCAUCUCCCAAGGCUAAAUACUCCCUAGUGACCGAUAGUGAACCAGUACCGUGAGGGAAAGGUGAAAAGCACCCCGGAAGGGGAGUGAAACAGUUCCUGAAACCGUGUGCCUACAAGUAGUUAGAGCCCGUUAAUGGGUGAUAGCGUGCCUUUUGUAGAAUGAACCGGCGAGUUACGAUUUGUUGCAAGGUUAAGCGGAAAAAGCGGAGCCGUAGCGAAAGCGAGUCUGAAUAGGGCGCAUAAGUAACAGGUCGUAGACCCGAAACCAGGUGAUCUACCCAUGUCCAGGAUGAAGGUAAGGUAAUACUUACUGGAGGUCCGAACCCACGCACGUUGAAAAGUGCGGGGAUGAGGUGUGGGUAGCGGAGAAAUUCCAAUCGAACUUGGAGAUAGCUGGUUCUCUCCGAAAUAGCUUUAGGGCUAGCCUCGAGGUAAAGAGUCAUGGAGGUAGAGCACUGUUUGGACUAGGGGCCCUUCUCGGGUUACCGAAUUCAGAUAAACUCCGAAUGCCAUGUACUUAUACUCGGGAGUCAGACUGCGAGUGAUAAGAUCCGUAGUCGAAAGGGAAACAGCCCAGACCACCAGUUAAGGUCCCCAAAUAUAUGUUAAGUGGAAAAGGAUGUGGGGUUGCUUAGACAACCAGGAUGUUGGCUUAGAAGCAGCCACCAUUGAAAGAGUGCGUAAUAGCUCACUGGUCGAGUGACCCCGCGCCGAAAAUGUACCGGGGCUAAACAUAUUACCGAAACUGUGGAUGAACCUCUUUAGAGGUUCGUGGUAGGAGAGCGUUCUAAGGGCGGUGAAGUCAGACCGGAAGGACUGGUGGAGCGCUUAGAAGUGAGAAUGCCGGUAUGAGUAGCGAAAGAAGGGUGAGAAUCCCUUCCACCGAAUAUCUAAGGUUUCCUGAGGAAGGCUCGUCCGCUCAGGGUUAGUCGGGACCUAAGCCGAGGCCGAUAGGCGUAGGCGAUGGACAACAGGUAGAGAUUCCUGUACCAGUGCUAAUUGUUUAACCGAUGGGGUGACACAGAAGGAUAGGGAAUCGCACGAAUGGAAAUGUGCGUCCAAGCAGUGAGUGUGAGAAGUAGGCAAAUCCGCUUCUCGCGAAGCAUGAGCUGUGAUGGGGAAGGAAAUUAAGUACGGAAGUUCCUGAUUUCACGCUGUCAAGAAAAGCCUCUAGGAAGAGUAGUACUGCCCGUACCGCAAACCGACACAGGUAGAUGAGGAGAGAAUCCUAAGGUGAGCGAGAGAACUCUCGUUAAGGAACUCGGCAAAAUGACCCCGUAACUUCGGGAGAAGGGGUGCUCUAUUAGGGUGCAAGCCCGAGAGAGCCGCAGUGAAUAGGCCCAGGCGACUGUUUAGCAAAAACACAGGUCUCUGCAAAACCGUAAGGUGACGUAUAGGGGCUGACGCCUGCCCGGUGCUGGAAGGUUAAGAGGAGUGCUUAGCUUCGGCGAAGGUACGAAUUGAAGCCCCAGUAAACGGCGGCCGUAACUAUAACGGUCCUAAGGUAGCGAAAUUCCUUGUCGGGUAAGUUCCGACCCGCACGAAAGGCGCAACGAUCUGGGCACUGUCUCAACGAGAGACUCGGUGAAAUUAUAGUACCUGUGAAGAUGCAGGUUACCCGCGACAGGACGGAAAGACCCCGUGGAGCUUUACUGCAACCUGAUAUGGAAUGUUUGUACCGCUUGUACAGGAUAGGUAGGAGCCGAAGAGACGUGUGCGCUAGCAUACGAGGAGGCAAUGGUGGGAUACUACCCUGGCUGUAUGACCAUUCUAACCCGCCACGCUUAGCGCGUGGGGAGACAGUGUCAGGUGGGCAGUUUGACUGGGGCGGUCGCCUCCUAAAGAGUAACGGAGGCGCCCAAAGGUUCCCUCAGAAUGGAUGGAAAUCAUUCGCAGAGUGUAAAGGCACAAGGGAGCUUGACUGCGAGACUGACAAGUCGAGCAGGGACGAAAGUCGGGCUUAGUGAUCCGGUGGUUCCGCAUGGAAGGGCCAUCGCUCAACGGAUAAAAGCUACCCCGGGGAUAACAGGCUUAUCUCCCCCAAGAGUCCACAUCGACGGGGAGGUUUGGCACCUCGAUGUCGGCUCGUCGCAUCCUGGGGCUGUAGUCGGUCCCAAGGGUUGGGCUGUUCGCCCAUUAAAGCGGCACGCGAGCUGGGUUCAGAACGUCGUGAGACAGUUCGGUCCCUAUCCGUCGCGGGCGCAGGAAAUUUGAGAGGAGCUGUCCUUAGUACGAGAGGACCGGGAUGGACACACCGCUGGUGUACCAGUUGUUCCGCCAGGAGCAUCGCUGGGUAGCUAUGUGUGGCAGGGAUAAACGCUGAAAGCAUCUAAGCGUGAAGCCCCCCUCAAGAUGAGAUUUCCCAUUUCUUCGGAAAGUAAGAUCCCUGAAAGAUGAUCAGGUAGAUAGGUUUGGAGUGGAAGUGUAGCGAUACAUGGAGCGGACAAAUACUAAUCGAUCGAGGACUUAACCAA